rnacentral:rRNA from 1 species
CCUACGGGUGGCUGCAGUGGGGAAUCUUGCACAAUGGGGGAAACCCUGAUGCAGCGACGCCGCGUGAGCGAUGAAGCCCUUCGGGGUGUAAAGCUCUUUCGACGGGAACGAUAAUGACGGUACCCGGAGAAGAAGCUGCGGCUAACUACGUGCCAGCAGCCGCGGUAAUACGUAGGCAGCAAACGUUGUUCGGAAUUACUGGGCGUAAAGAGUGUGUAGGCGGUUGGGUAAGUUUGGUGUGAAAUCUCCCGGCUUAACUGGGAGGGUGCGCCGAA